GACGAACGCUGGCGGCGUGCUUAACACAUGCAAGUCGAACGGGAUUUAGUAAACAGAAACCUCGGUGGAAGAUUACUAAUGAGAGUGGCGAACGGGUGAGUAACGCGUGAGCAACCUGCCUAUGACAGUGGGAUAGCCUCGGGAAACCGGGAUUAAUACCGCAUAAAAUCGUAGAAACACAUGUUUUAACGGUCAAAGAUUUAUCGGUCAUAGAUGGGCUCGCGUCUGAUUAGCUAGUUGGUGAGAUAACAGCCCACCAAGGCGACGAUCAGUAGCCGGUCUGAGAGGAUGAACGGCCACAUUGGAACUGAGACACGGUCCAAACUCCUACGGGAGGCAGCAGUGGGGAAUAUUGCACAAUGGGGGAAUCCCUGAUGCAGCGACGCCGCGUGAACGAAGAAGGUAUUCGUAUCGUAAAGUUCUGUCCUAUGGGAAGAUAAUGACAGUACCAGAGAAGAAAGCUCCGGCUAAAUACGUG
rnacentral:rRNA from 1 species